AGAGAGAGAGACAGAAGAGAGACAUGGAUCACCUGCUGCUGCUGAUGAUGCUACUGCUCUGUAGCUCAGGACUCCAGGCUGAAGGAGAACACAACUCAACAGAGCCUGGUGUUAGGCUGGUGGGAGGAGAGAGUCG